AGAGCACCAUCGUUCAUCCCUUUACCUUGUCCUACCACCCGUUUGCAAUGCUGGGCUCGUUCAAGGCCGUGGACCACUCCAGGAAGCAUACCCAGAAGUUGAAGUGGUGGCUGUCUGUGCAGGGUAAAGGAGGUGCUGCCUCUGCUGUACAGAGGGCCUUGGUGCAGUCCUCCUCCUCCUCCUCAUCCACAUCUAACACCUUCCUCAGUGUUAGUGGUGAGUCCUUAAAGGAACAAACAGAGCAUUAUGAAGGAUAACAAGAGUCUCUACAUGAUUAAGGAAAUUCCUAUCCUGCGUUAUUAUACUGUUAUUACAGGGUAUCAACCCUCCAGUGUGUUAUCAUUUCACUAGUGGUUUCCUCUAAGUAUCAACCCUCCAGUGUGUUAUCAUAUCACUAGUAGUUUUCUCUAAGUAUCAACCCUCCAGUGUGUUAUCAUACCUCUAGUGGUUUCCUCUAAGUAUCAACCCUCCAGUGUGUUAUCAUAUCAUUAAUGGUUUCCUCUAAGUAUCAAGCCUCCAGUGUGUUAUCAUUUCACUAGUGGUUUCCUCUAAGUAUCAACCCUCCAGUGUGUUAUCAUUUCACUAGUGGUUUCCUCUAAGUAUCCAUCCUCCAGUGUGUUAUCAUUUCACUAGUGGUUUCCUCUAAGUAUCAAUCCUCCAGUGUG